rnacentral:snRNA from 1 species
AGUCUAGCGCAAUGGCCAUAUCGUAACAAAUGAAGGUCUCUUGAGGUAGGAUUAUUGCUAGUUGAAAACUAUUCACGAUGGCGGAGUGUUUGGUAAAUAAAUAAAUAAAAUUAUCUCAGAGAAAUAAAAUGUUGG